GAUGAAGAACGCAGCGAAAUGCGAUAAGUAAUGUGAAUUGCAGAAUUCAGUGAAUCAUCGAAUCUUUGAACGCACAUUGCGCCCGCCAGUAUUCUGGCGGGCAUGCCUGUCCGAGCGUCAUUUCAACCCUCGAACCCCUCCGGGGGGUCGGCGUUGGGGAUCGGCCCUUUACGGGGCCGGCCCCGAAAUACAGUGGCGGUCUCGCCGCAGCCUCUCCUGCGCAGUAGUUUGCACACUCGCAUCGGGAGCGCGGCGCGUCCACAGCCGUUAAACACCCCAAACUUCUGAAAUGUUGACCUCGGAUCAGGUAGGAAUACCCGCUGAACUUAAGCAUAUCAAUAAGCGGACGA
rnacentral:misc_RNA from 1 species